GGGGGCCGGCGAUGCGUC
rnacentral:snRNA from 1 species